CUCAUUAGCAGAAAUAAGGAGAAGCCCCUGACUGGAGUGUGUAGUUCGAGUGCGGACUCAAUGUGGGCCAAACCCUUCCCGUCUCAUUCAAGGCCACCCAAAUUGAGGUUCAUGUCGAAGGUAUUAACAUCAACGAAAGCAAAUCUUAAUCGAACCUAACCUACAUGGAUACAAAUGUAAACCAUGGAAAGACACGUUAGUGUGUUAUUGGAGGGCGAGACUUCAUCACUGCCCCUUCUGCACAUGUAAGGCUGAACAAUAUAUGGUCAACAACCACAUCAAAGGUCAUGCUUCAGUGGGGCACAGAGAAAAUUGUACCUUGUUCACACCACAGGAUCUACCAAAGCAAGGAUUUUCAAACAAGUGUGGGGUGUUUGUUUUGAUGAAGUUUUAACUUACAGCACGCUCUGUCCAUUGCAAUGGAAGCAGUGUGAUUUCACUGAGUGAAACAUGCAGCAAAUUAGGCGAUGGUGGUGCUUAGUUCUCCUGCAGAACUUUUCCAUGCCGUCUGAAGAAGAGAGGUUGAAAGAUGGAGAAAGGUGUUGAAAACAAAACACACUACAGACGAUACUGAAAACAAAAUACACAGUGAACUGGGAGCUGUGAAUUGGGAAGCAGAUGUUCUUCUAAGGGACACCCUAGAGGCAGGCAGGUGGUGUGAACUCCAAAAAAUGUAAAGGCAUUGUUUCCUUCCCCAGUGUAGUUGGGAUGGACGGGGAAGACCGCAUUACAACCCUUAAAGAACUACGGUUGUAUGAUGGCCUGGAUGAAGAGAAAAAUAUUCUCCUCAAGGAACCAUUCACGUUCCAGUUACAGAGAGAUAAGAUGUUCUAUGUGGAGGCAGUUGACAACAAGAAAAUGACUCUCUUUGCUUCUUUUUAGGAGCAGGAGUGAAGCCAUUUUUGAGGAGRGGUCAAACCUUGUUUUUGUCUGCUGUGUUAAUCGUUAUUUGUGUUAUGUUGUUUAGUAAAGAUGACGUAGAAGUCA